AAUCAACGCUGGCGGCGUGCCUAACACAUGCAAGUCGAACGAGAAAGUGGAGCAAUCCAUGAGUAAAGUGGCGACCGGGUGAGUAACACGUGACUAACCUACCUCCGAGUGGGGAAUAACUCCGGGAAACCGGGGCUAAUACCGCAUAACAUCGCAAGAUCAAAGCAGCAAUGCGCUUGGAGAGGGGGUCGCGGCUGAUUAGCUAGUUGGUAGGGUAACGGCCUACCAAGGCGAAGAUCGGUAUCCGGCCUGAGAGGGCGCACGGACACACUGGAACUGAAGCACGGUCCAGACUCCUACGGGAGGCAGCAGUGGGGAAUUUUGCGCAAUGGGGGAAACCCUGACGCAGCAACGCCGCGUGGAGGAUGAAGCCCCUUGGGGCGUAAACUCCUUUCGACCAAGACGAUAAUGACGGUACUGGUGGAAGAAGCACCGGCUAACUCUGUGC
rnacentral:rRNA from 1 species